UUGGAAAGGAUGGGGUGAGAUAUCUUAUGGAGGAUAUGAAUGUGUUAAACGUGCAAAGGCUACAGAAUUCCUGGUCAGAUCAUGGUUGGAAGAAAUAUUGCCUGGCAUCAACAGUUCUGUAUUUUCUUAUAUAAUUGGCGUCGAUAGUCUGAAAGCAACUAGCAUUGGUGAUGACACUUCAUCUUCAGCCGCUAGUAAUGAUGUAAGGUUGUGUAUGGAUGGAUUAUUUGACCUGAAAGAACAUGCAGUCCAAUUUACUAGAGACAUUAUAGCAUUAUAUACCAAUGGACCAGCUGGUGGUGGUGGUAUCAGGUCAAGUUCUUAUCAGCUUUUGAACCUAUUUUCUAAUUUACUAGCGUUUUAAUGAGCUUACACAUUCCUUGGUGGUUAUAGAUUCAUCUCUAGAUGCAAUAAAUCUUUGGUUCUUUAUUUUCAUAAUAAUUGGUUUCCUGUGCUCAAAACCGAAUGAGAAGUUGUAGAUUGAAUUGCUGUUAGAGCUCAUGAAGUUAGUUAUUUACUAAUUAGUGGUGCCUUCCUAAAUAUACAAUCGAAGAUAUAUUUAAUAGAGAUUGACCUUGCUAUAUUCACCUUUAUAUUAUGUGUUUUCUAUUCCCCGAUUGUUGUGAUUGAUCUAAUUCCACUGAUUUUUUUUUUCUUUACUGACUGCAGUGUAGGACACAAGAGAGAGGUCAUUCUUGAAAAACAACUGCUCAAUCGUGAACAUGUUGCUUGGAAGACAUCCAUAAAGCGCACUGUAACCAAAUCAAAUCCUCCAAGAAUUAGCCAUGAAAACCUCAUUAAAACUCCAGUUUCUCAAGGAUUAGUAGAAGAUGCUUCAUUUUCUGAAAGUGACAUCUCUCCUGCGCACUGUAACUUGUGGGAUGAUUUUAAUUGGCUUUUACAUUUGCAAGUGGAGAGCAUUUUAUGGUUCUAGUAGUGUCAUCAUGCCAAUGCAAAAUCAUUUGAGGCCUUGGACGAUAUGAAGACCCAAACUGCCAACCCAAGAGAUCUAGCUAUGGGUUACCUGAGGACAAAUUUAUAUUUGCUUGUUUUAACCAGCUAUACAAGAUGGAUCCUGAUAUUUUCAAUACAUGGUGCAACAUCCUUAAGCGAGUACCAAAUAGUGCACUUUGGCUUCUCAAAUUUCCUGCUGCUGGCGAGUCGAGACUCUACAAUUGUACUGCCAUUUUACCAUUUCUCAAGAUAAAUCACUUACAUGCAUAAUAUUUGAAUUCUUCUUUGUUAUUUAUAUUUCAUAAUGUAGUAAUGGGUAUUUAUCUUACAAAGGAAAGAUAAAUUAGUGACUGAUAAACUAUUGGUGUUCCAGAUGCUGUUCAAAGAGGUGUACAACCAGAUCAGAUUAUUUUCACAGAUGUUGCCAUGAAGGGUGAACAUAUCAAGCGCAGUGCUUUAGCAGAUUUAUUCUUGGACAUAUAAGCAUGCUUAAUACUUUAUUUUUUCUAUUUUUUUUAUUAUUCAAGUGUAUUUAUCUUAGUACAAUACAAUAUGUAACUUUAUUUUGACAUUUGAUGUUGCUAUUGCUGAUUGAUUUUUCUAUUGCUGUUUUGUUUCUUUAUUAUAUUUUUGGUGGUGUGUGCUCUGUAGCAUUGCAUUUAGUUAGCUUAAUAUUUAGCUCAUAUUUUCUUGAGUCGUUGCACCAGAAUUCCCUUAAUCAAGAGUCAUAUUCUGUCAGAAGUGAAUCAUGUCUUGUUAACAGAAUGAUUUUUCAACUGGUUACAAGUCUUUCCCAGAGCUUGGACAACAAUUUUGAUUUCUCUAGACAAUAGUGGCAUGUGGAA